CCCUUAGAUGUUCUGGGCCGCACGCGCGCUACACUGACGAAUUCAACGAGUUUACAACCUUGGCUGAUAAGCCCCGGGAAAUCUUUUAAAUGUUCGUCGUGAUGGGGAUAGAUGAUUGCAAUUUUUCAUCUUCAACGAGGAAUUCCUAGUAGACGCAAGUCAUCAGCUUGCAUCGAUUACGUCCCUGCCCUUUGUACACACCGCCCGUCGCACCUACCGAUUGAAUGGUCCGGUGAAAUCUUUGGACCUAGAGGCUUUCUGCUCCUUCUGGGGCAGGGGUUUUUGGGGAAGUUGAUUAAACCUUACCAUUUAGAGGAAGGUGAAGUCGUAACA
rnacentral:rRNA from 1 species